AGAUUGAACGCUGGCGGCAUGCCUAACACAUGCAAGUCGAACGGGAGUAGCAAUACUCUAGUGGCGGACGGGUGAGGAAUACGUAGGAAUUUGCCCUUAAGUGGGGGGAUAACCCGGGGAAACCCGGAUUAAUACCGCAUGACCUCGAAAGAGCAAAGUGGGGGAUCGCAAGACCUCACGCUUUUGGAGAAGCCUACGUCGGAUUAGCUAGUUGGUGAGGUAAUGGCUCACCAAGGCGACGAUCCGUAACUGGUCUGAGAGGAUGAUCAGUCACACCGGAACUGAGACACGGUCCGGACUCCUACGGGAGCAGCAGUGGGAAUAUGGACAAUGGGCGCAAGCCUGAUCCAGCAAUGCCGCGUGUGUGAAGAAGGCCUUGGGUUGUAAAGCACUUUAAGUUGGGAAGAAAAACGUACGACGUCUAACACAGUGAGUCUUGACGGUACGACAGAAUAAGCACCGCUAACU
rnacentral:rRNA from 1 species